rnacentral:rRNA from 1 species
UACGUAGGGCGCGAGCGUUGUCCGGGAUUAUUGGGCGUAAAGAGCUCGUAGGCGGUUUGUCGCGUCGGUUGUGAAAACCCAAGGCUCAACCUUGGGCCUGCAAUCGAUACGGGCAGACUAGAGUACUGCAGGGGAGACUGGAAUUCCUGGUGUAGCGGUGGAAUGCGCAGAUAUCAGGAGGAACACCGGUGGCGAAGGCGGGUCUCUGGGCAGUAACUGACGCUGAGGAGCGAAAGCGUGGGGAGCGAACAGG